rnacentral:rRNA from 1 species
AGUGAACGCUGGCGGUAGGCCUAACACAUGCAAGUCGAACGGCAGCACAGUAAGAGCUUGCUCUUACGGGUGGCGAGUGGCGGACGGGUGAGGAAUACAUCGGAAUCUACUUUUUCGUGGGGGAUAACGUAGGGAAACUUACGCUAAUACCGCAUACGACCUACGGGUGAAAGCAGGGGAUCUUCGGACCUUGCGCGAUUGAAUGAGCCGAUGUCGGAUUAGCUAGUUGGCGGGGUAAAGGCCCACCAAGGCGACGAUCCGUAGCUGGUCUGAGAGGAUGAUCAGCCACACUGGAACUGAGACACGGUCCAGACUCCUACGGGAGGCAGCAGUUGGGAAUAUUGGACAAAGGGCGCAAGCCUGAUCCAGCCAUACCGCGUGGGUGAAGAAGGCCUUCGGGUUGUAAAGCCCUUUUGUUGGGAAAGAAAAGCAGCAGGUUAAUACCCCGCUGUUCUGACGGUACCCAAAGAAUAAGCACCGGCUAACUUCGUG